rnacentral:rRNA from 1 species
UACGGAGGGGUUAGCGUUGUUCGGAAUUACUGGGCGUAAAGGCGCACGUAGGCGGAUUGGAAAGUUGGGGGUGAAAUCCCAGGGCUCAACCCUGGAACUGCCUCCAAAACUCCCAGUCUGGAGUUCGAGAGAGGUGAGUGGAAUUCCGAGUGUAGAGGUGAAAUUCGUAGAUAUUCGGAGGAACACCAGUGGCGAAGGCGGCUCACUGGCUCGAUACUGACGCUGAGGUGCGAAAGUGUGGGGGAGCGAAAACAGGGAUUAGAUACCCCCCGUAGU